GUGGUGUUUUUUGACUGAAUCCUCUGAGCCAGAAAAAGUAGAUAUUGCUCACAUCGUUUGGCUUUGCAUUUUUUUAAUUCAACAAAUGAAAAAAAUAUACAUGUGUAGACACUGGGCUUCUCAUGGGCAUCUGACACUCACUUUGCUCUGAACUGAACUACUUCCCAAAGCUGCUUUUCCUCUUAUAUUCUUUGAUUCAGUGGUCCUGGAAUCCUUUGCUGAAAGACUUCUCCCAACUCAUCUAGUUGUUCAACGCUGCAGCAUUUUAUAUAUAUACCUAUAUCAUUGAAGUUGCCGUCACGACUGAUUUAUUAGUUUGUGCCUUUCACCAGGCUGGGCAGAGAUGUACCAAAUUCAUUUUUACUGAUAAGAACAUAAUGAAUGCUGAAUGAAUGAAUACAAGAAUAAACAGAAGACGUUCAGAAGAAAGUUCACUUGUUUCAAGAUUGUCAAGAAUGACGAGUUGGACUUGGUCUAGUUACUUCCACAGCAGCAGGAGGAACAUGUGUGUGACUCAGGAUAACUGGGGAAGCCUUGGCUAGGCUUUCCUCAUGUCAACCUACCACUCAAAGGGAGAAAACCUCCUGAUCAGAGGAAAUCCAUAAUUUUUGAAUGCUGGCCGAGGUCUGUGACCUCUGACUGAAUGGUUUCCAAGCUCCGAAUUCCUAGGUGAUGUUUUCAUUUGUUCACACUUGCUGAAGAAGGGAAAGGCUCUCUGAUUUACGUGUAAGCAAAACAAUCUAAACAGUAGGAUAAAAUCAUGUUGGAAUGGAGUUCUGUGUGGAUGCUCCUUUGAACCAAAUCAGUUCCACAACUGA
ensembl:lncRNA LINC01206 long intergenic non-protein coding RNA 1206